UACGGAGGAUGCGGGCGUUAUCCGGAUUUAUUGGGUUUAAAGGGUGCGCAGGCGGUCUGUUAAGUCAGCGGUCAAAGCCCGGGGCUCAACCCCGGCCCGCCGUUGAAACUGGCAGUCUCGAGUUGGAGAGAAGUAUGCGGAAUGCGCGGUGUAGCGGUGAAAUGCAUAGAUAUCGCGCAGAACUCCGAUUGCGAAGGCAGCAUGCCGGCUCCACACUGACGCUGAGGCACGAAAGCGUGGGUAUCGAACAGG
rnacentral:rRNA from 1 species